GAAAAGAUCAGGAAAGUUUACGGAAAUAAUAUUUUCAUUAUGUUCAAUUUUUUUUUUUUCCGUAAUUCUGUUUAAAACAUUUGUAGAUAGAUUUAACAUUUUGACAGAUAACUACGUAUUAUACAUUUUCCAGGGCUGAUCUGAAGUCCCAAGGUCUCAUUAUAUACUACAACAUCGUGUAUGAAUAAUAAAUUUAAUUUUUAACAAAGUUUUAAGUUAUAACGUUGCACAGUAAAUCGUUUUCAUUGCAGCGUAAUAAUAACAAUAUAAAAGAACACAAAACGUAUUACUCACUGGAGCCGAUCGGUUUUUUUUUCAUAGGCACCUACAGUAAAUUGACAUUGACGCGGGUGUAGUUGAAUUACCUAUACGAUACGCCAUUGUAUUAUCGACACAGGCAAAGGCAUA